UGCUGGGAGCUACAGACUGUCACUGUGGACAAGGGAGUCUCUCUUUCCUUAAGGGCUUGUAUCUAUCUGCAGCAGGAGCUACUGGGAGUUUCAUCACAAUAUUAUCUGGAAGUCAAGGUCAUAAUUAUAAACUCCUCCAGCAAACGUCACAGUGGGUCUGGUCUCACGUGGCUCUUGCAGUUACAGAUUCACAGGCAAGUCUCAAUAAAGGAUAAAAUUCCUCAACAAGGAACACUCGUGGUCCUCUCUGGAGUCACACCAGCUGUCCUACAUCUUCCCUGAAGUGCAGCUCUCUCAGUGGAUGCAAAGGGGUGAGAUGAAGGAAGGAGCACUGGACAGCAGGAACCACGGUCAUGGAUGAGGGGUUGUGGACAGAUCAGCAGGAAGACUUGGAUGUGAAAACUCCUGCACAGGCCAAGGGAGCAGAAAGCAAAACGAAAUCCGAUGUCUGGCAACUGCAAAUUGGGUAAGGAAAAAUAAUUUCAGCUCCCCAGUAAAUAGCAGUGAGGAGCUCCAGGCUUUCUACUCACCACUUUUGUAGGUAGAAAAGUGAAAGCAGAAUUAUUUGUCCUACCUGUCCCACAAACGUGGAAAAUCACUUUUUUAAAUCUCUGUUUAAUUUUCAGUGGGACUACCUAAAUUAAAUGGUGUUGACAACACCACAAUUUUGUUGUUGCUCUCUGUCUUUGGGAAAAUGAAAUUUUUAACUCCACCGUGGAUUUUUGCAUUAUUUCACAUCAAGAUCUUGCAAAACACGGGCUCUUAAGGGAUUUAAGGUCUGCUUUUCAGCAGACCUUUUCCAGAAGCAUCUUGGCACCUGCUGGAAGGAAAAUAAAGGAACAGAAAGCUUUUUGCAGUUUGUAGUCACUUUGCAUCAAGAAAGGGGAUAUAAAGAAAACAUUUCCAAGCCUGUCCUGCAAGAGCAGUGAAAAAAUGACCCAUCAAACUCAAAAAGCACCUGAGUCUUCCCAUGAUCUGGAUUAUGGGAUAGAUUUUCCUCAUGGAUUCCACUCAUCUUCAGUAGUCAUGUGCUGUCAAUAAAGACCUUGCACUCCACAUUUCCAGCCUAAAGAGAAUCAUGGAAUCAUUGUGGUUGGAAAAGCUCUGUAAGAUCUGGCACUGCCAGGGCCACCCCUAAACUGUGUCCCCAGGUGCCACAUCCACACGUUUUUUGAAC